GACGAACGCUGGCGGCGUGCCUAAUACAUGCAAGUUGAGCGAUGAAGCUUGGUGCUUGCACCAAUUUGAAGAGCAGCGAACGGGUGAGUAACGCGUGGGGAAUCUGCCUUUGAGCGGGGGACAACAUUUGGAAACGAAUGCUAAUACCGCAUAACAACUUUAAACAUAAGUUUUAAGUUUGAAAGAUGCAAUUGCAUCACUCAAAGAUGAUCCCGCGUUGUAUUAGCUAGUUGGUGAGGUAAAGGCCCACCAAGGCGAUGAUACAUAGCCGACCUGAGAGGGUGAUCGGCCACAUUGGGACUGAGACACGGCCCAAACUCCUACGGGAGGCAGCAGUAGGGAAUCUUCGGCAAUAGACGAAAGUCUGACCGAGCAACGCCGCGUGAGUGAAGAAGGUUUUCGGAUCGUAAAACUCUGUUGGUAGAGAAGAACGUUGGUGAGAGUGGAAAGCUCAUCAAGUGACGGUAACUACCCAGAAAGGGACGGCUAACUACGUG
rnacentral:rRNA from 1 species